UGAUUGAUUGAUUGAUUGAUUGAUUGAGUUUACUGCAGAAAACUUCUCUUUGCUUUUGAAGGAUCUACAGAAAGCCGACAGUGGACUUUAUGUUGGUUUUAUUCAAGGGGAUAAAGAUAGAAUAACAGCACAAUACAACGUCAUAGUUGUUGAUCCGGUGUCUCCAGUUGUCCUGCAGGUGGACUCUGUCUCCAACACGUCUGUCUCCUGUGACGUCACUCUGACCUGCAGCACAAACGACUCUGACAUCAUCAUCCUCAGCGCCAACUUCACAUGUCAAAAACAAACCUGCUCUCUGUGGGGAGGUCAGGGGUCAAAGGUCACCCCCUCUGUGGCAUCCCUCCAAAUCUUCUUGUCCAAUGGCUUUAUUAUCUGUAACCAUAGCAACCAGGUCAGCAAAACCAACGCAACCAAGAAGAUCGAUCAAGUUUGUCCUCAAACUGCAGAGAGCGUCUCUGCUGGUUUCACUGUUUACCGGCUGAAGAUGGUUGUUUUCUCUGUCGGUCUGAUCGUCAUGAUAUCUGUCAUCAUCAGCGUCCACGUCGUCACUCACAAAGCAAAAAACAACAGAUGAAUGUUUAAUUUCACAAACAAACAAUAGAUUUAACACAAAUACAUUUUAAAAUAUGUAAUAAACUAUGUUUUUUGACAGACCAACAAUAAUUAAUUGCAACAAGUGCUGAGAACCUGCAGUGAUGUUUAAUUAUUCAAAACCAGUUUUAAUGAGCUCAGAAAAUUAACUUUAAACAUAUUUUGUAACAUUUUGAAU